rnacentral:rRNA from 1 species
UGCCCGCGAGGGAGCCCUAGCACAGGUGCUGCACGGCCGUCGUCAGCUCGUGCCGUGAGGUGUUGGGUUAAGUCCCGCAACGAGCGCAACCCCCGCCGUUAGUUGCCAGCGGUUCGGCCGGGCACUCUAACGGGACUGCCCGCGAAAGCGGGAGGAAGGAGGGGACGACGUCUGGUCAGCAUGGCCCUUACGGCCUGGGCGACACACGUGCUACAAUGGGCGGUACAAAGGGUCGCGAACCCGCGAGGGGGAGCCAAUCCCAAAAAGCCGCUCUCAGUUCGGAUUGCAGGCUGCAACUCGCCUGCAUGAAGCCGGAAUCGCUAGUAAUCGCGGAUCAGCAUGCCGCGGUGAAUACGUUCCCGGGCCUU